GUUGACGGCACGAUUUUUGGACAAGAAACGUGGUGGAAGUUUGUAAUGUUGGAAAGCUCUUGUUAGUUUGUAUUUCCUUCACUUGUCUGGUGUUUCAGGUUGUAGAAAUUCCACAUCUCUACUGCAAGUCUGGUGUUUCAGGUUGUAGAAAUUCCACAUCUCUACUGCAAGUCUGGUGUUUCAGGUUGUAGAAAUUCCACAUCUCUACUGCAAGUCUGGUGUUUCAGGUUGUAGAAAUUCCACAUCUCUACUGCAAGUCUGGUGUUUCAGGUUGUAGAAAUUCCACACCUCUACUGCAAGUCUGGUGUUUCAGGUUGUAGAAAUUCCACACCUCUACUGCAAGUCUGGUGUUUCAGGUUGUAGAAAUUCCACACCUCUACUGCAAGUCUGGU